rnacentral:tRNA from 1 species
GGGGCUGUAGUUUAAUCCGGCAGAAUGGGAGCCUCCAGAGCUUUUGAUCUGGGUUCAAAUCCCAGCAGCCCCA